GAUGAACGCUGGCGGCGUGCCUAAUACAUGCAAGUCGAGCGAACAGACGAGGAGCUCGCUCCUCUAACGUUAGCGGCGGACGGGUGAGUAACACGUGGAUAACCUACCUAUAAGACUGGGAUAACUUCGGGAAACCGGAGCUAAUACCGGAUAAUAUAUUGAACCGCAUGGUUCAAUAGUGAAAGACGGUUUUGCUGUCACUUAUAGAUGGAUCCGCGCCGCAUUAGCUAGUUGGUAAGGUAACGGCUUACCAAGGCAACGAUGCGUAGCCGACCUGAGAGGGUGAUCGGCCACACUGGAACUGAGACACGGUCCAGACUCCUACGGGAGGCAGCAGUAGGGAAUCUUCCGCAAUGGGCGAAAGCCUGACGGAGCAACGCCGCGUGAGUGAUGAAGGUCUUCGGAUCGUAAAACUCUGUUAUUAGGGAAGAACAAAUGUGUAAGUAACUAUGCACGUCUUGACGGUACCUAAUCAGAAAGCCACGGCUAACUACGUG
rnacentral:rRNA from 1 species